rnacentral:lncRNA from 1 species
UGAUUCUCCUGCCUCAGCCUCCCAAGUAGCUGGAAUUACAGAGCAACAUUCUCAGCAAACCAUCUGAAUGCAACUCCUGUGAUCACAAAAGUCAAUCACUGAUGGAAAUGAAGACCACGACCCUGAUUCCUCAGGUGCCGGAUUGAUGGAACCUCAAAUGUGUAAAGUCUUGCACAGGAAACCCCCCAGCAUGGCCAUUCAGAGGCUCUCAACUCCUGCUGGACCCAAACACAAGAAACCAGGAGGCCCAGACCCCGUCUCUCAUUUUGCACCUCAGUAAACAGUACCUCGAAAGAGAACUCCAUUUUCUUUUCUUAACGUUCUUCAGCUAAAACAAGAGUGUAGGGAAGGGGCUACUUGGAAAAGAGAUUCUCUAAAUUGCCUGAAAAAUCGAUCACAACCCAAGAACCAAGUAUUUUGAAACACAGCAUAUUUAGGAAGUUUGAGGAAGCUUUAAAAUAUCUCCAGAAGGUUUGUGUUUAGCCCAGCACGAUGUCUGUCUUGUGACCCAAAGGUUUAUCUUCCGAACCUUACUUGAGCAACUUCAUUAAUAAAAACAUUUUUGAGAAUGCACAUCUAACACGUAUAUACUUAUUAUAACUUUUGUACACAUACUGUUGAACUAAUAUGUUCUGUUUUUUUAAACAGAUACAUAUUAAAUAUGUAUUUUUACAUAUUAACAUUAAACAAAUACAUUAACAUUAAACAAUGUAUUAACAUUAAACAAAUACAUAUUAAAUAUGUAUUUUUAAAAACACAUAUCUAAACACAAAUUUAAAAAUUGA